UAUUUUUCUUACUGCAAUCACAAUGACUGCGAUAUGAUUGCAAAUGAUUACAAUUAAAAAAAUAAUUUGUUAGAUUGCAGAUGUUUUUAUGAUGACAACGUGAUUACAGUGAUUGCUAAAUCACUACAGUAAGGGGUGACACAACGACUGCUUAAGUGGUUAACCCCUGGGUCAUGGUGACCUCAGAUGUAGCUUCGGUUGUCUAUCUGCUGGUGCAGAAUGGCAAAUUUCACAGAAUCUUGGUACACACGGACUAAAGUGACUCCACCUCCUGUUCGGCGAGGGUUUCAACGUCGGCCUCGUGCCUACGCCAGACAAGGGGCGGUGGCGGUGUUCCAGUAACGUCGCAUUUGAUUUCAACGUUGUCGCCAACCCUGACAGAGACAUGAUUCACCUCUCGCGACUUGUCCAGGGAGACUACCGAUACGCCUGGAAGUCAAUAUGAAAUUCGGAGACCCGUCACACUAGAUUGCUCGUCACAGAUUUAUGAUAGCCCAUUACAAACCCUCGUACCUGCUCGAUGUAGGCAUCGCAUGAGCCUACUGGCGAUUAGCGGGAUAC